CAUCUUAUGCUCAACUUAACUUUCAGUAUAAUUCAAGGUACCUCUAAAGAAGGUUAUAGUUCAGGAUCCGUUUAACUGGAAUCCAUCCGAAGGAGUCAGAAGGAACUGAUGCUUUCUGGAGAAUGUUCUGCUCCUGAUAUUUUAGCAACAGAUUUCGUCUUUAUUUUUCUGGCAGCCAAGGUAAAGGGUCAUGCUUGCUGGACAAAUAGUAGAUUGAAUUUAGAAAGUUUUUUUUCAUUGACUCUCAUCCAUCUUUUAGUUGGGAAGAAAAAUUACUGAUUGAGAAGUCCCAGAAGAACAGAGAACAGGGAUCCUCGAAAUUAUUUCCAUUUGCUCCAGUGUGGAAGCUAGGUGAACAUCCGAAUCGAAUCGAGACAAUUAAUCUACCCCAUCUCCGGAUAGUCCUGCCGCUACUUAACGACCCUUGCAGG